rnacentral:lncRNA from 1 species
AUAUGACAUAGAUCACGUAAGAUGAGUUUGCAGUGGAGUACAUGGCUGUAGAUGGGUCUAUAUGAAUGAGGGUACAAAAAUUUUUAAUGACGAUGGGGUGGGAGAGUGGUUCGGCGAGGGCAGUUGCUACGGUAGAGGGCGAGGGAGAGGACGCGGCAGGAUAAACUGAUGCAGAUUGUAGAAAGAAAAGAAUAAAGAAUAAAAAUAAAAAAAAUAUUUAUUUUCUCUUGAAAGACCAUUAUGUAUCAUCAUUGCUACAGAGAAGGUCAAAAAAUUGAAAAGAAAAAAAGAUGAAAUUGCAAUGCUAAGAUAAAGAUGUAUUGUUUCAGAGAGAGUUACACUGUUUGAGAUGAAAGUUAUAUUCUUUGAAAUAAAAAUUAUACUUUUUGGAUAAAAGUUGUACUGUUUGAGCAAAAUUUAUGUUGUUUAAGAUAUAAAUUACACUUCUCGAGACGAAACUAUCACUCUUUGAGCGAAAAUUGUGGUGAUACAGACUAUAGUAUUAAAAUUUGUUGUCAUAGAUAUUUAUCUUUCUGUAAAUAGUAUAAAGAAUUUUUUGUCAACGUUUUUUCUAAUUUGGAUACUUCUACAUCAUUAAACUUAGAAAUGGCAGACAAACCAUUACAAAUUAUGAUUUUGAACCCUUUCAAUUACUAGGUAAAUAAUAUUAAAAAAUCACAAACUUUAUUUUUUCUUCAUACUUUAAAUAUGCUAGAUCAAGUCUAAUUGAGUAGAUUGUUAAGUCGAAAAUUCUAUCACCCAAAACGGCUUCGAAGCAUGGAUGCUUCUGUGCUCCUAAUAAGAGUACAGCAACCGUACUCUCUCUCUCUCUCUCUCUCUCUCUCUCUCUCUCUCUCUCUCUCUCUCUCUAUAUAUAUAUAUAUAUAUAUAUAUAUAUAUAUAUAUAU